GGAAGGGAAUAGCUCAGAACGCUGGCCUGGCUCCCAGAACCGGGGCCCUCCGGAAAGCGGAAACAGCUGCUCAGGCGGACAGCGGGCUUGUCCAGCGCAGAUAUGCGCAGGCUCGAGUCCCUUAGCAGGCGCGGCCGCGCCCACCACACCCCCUCAAGCCUUGCCUCACCAGUGGUGGCAGUACAGAGAGCCCUGGGCUGGGAGUUCGAGAGCUGGCUCAGCUCACUCGCUUCAUCACCCGAGCAUGAGUCAGUGACUCACGGGCGCCUCAGACAGGCUUAGCGGGGAGGACCCACACCUCCCUCCUAGCGGAGCUUCCAGGGCACCCUGGGCCUCGCGGCCCUCGCGGUCGAGGGCGCAGAGAAACGCACCCCCUGCAGGACCCCGAGUCCCCCUCGUUUUGUCCCACGCCGGGGAAGCCACGUUUUGCCUCUUGCACGGUUGGUUCACGUCCUCAGCAGUUCCUGGACCAACAGGCGGGUCCUUUACCACAAGAGCCACUGGAUCCAGGGUACCCGGUAAAGUGUGGAUCUGGCCCAGGCUGUCUGAGCCCCAGCAAAUUCUCAUCAAGUCUGAACCUGGAAGGACGACUGGUUGGAAUCAGAGGUUCGUUACCCUUUUGGGUGAUAGACCCCUUGGAAUUUUCCCUGAGAAGUGCUUUUUGCAAUUCAAGAAAUUCUCAGAAUCCUGGAGUCCCUCCAUAGGUAUCAUGGACCCUAUGUGGCAACUGGAUUGGGAAAUCUCAA
rnacentral:lncRNA from 1 species